rnacentral:rRNA from 1 species
UACAGGGGGUGCAAACGUUGCUCGGAAUCAUUGGGCGUAAAGCGCACGUAGGCGGUUCGUUAUGUCGGAUGUGAAAGCCCUUGGCUUAACCGAGGAAGUGCAUCCGAAACUGGCGAGCUAGAGUACGAAAGAGGAUCGCGGAAUUCCUGGUGUAGCGGUGGAAUGCGCAGAUAUCAGGAGGAACACCAAUAGCGAAGGCAGCUCGCUGGGACGUUACUGACACUGAGGCGCGAAAGCGUGGGGAGCAAACAGG